GUGCGCUCCUUAUUUUUAUCGAACAUGUCAUUACAUUUCAUGUUAUUAUAUCCACAUUUCUAUAUGUAUUAACUGAUGCCCAUGAAUACACAGGAGAGCACGCCCGUACACAUAGCUAACGAACUACUCUAUUUUUUUUUUUUUUUGUGGAAAUAAUGAAGGCCAUCCUUUCGCCAUUUACCCUUAUCUCGUUAGUUGACGCUCUGACGCCGCCCGAGCGGGUCUCUCUCUCUGCCUGCGUUAGCCACUCCUGUCGAUAAUUUCAGCUGGUUAUGCAUUGUCGUCAAGUCCAAACUUACAGCCAUCAUGAAUAAGGUCGAGUUUGCAGUGAUGAUAUUAAGCAUUGCUUCCUCUUCCUGGUGUCUGCCGCCGCAGAUUAACAGCACUGAGGAGGUGUUGCCAACUAGUCCGGAGAUCACUUUAUUUUGCGAGGGCACGGCGCCUCUCCUUUGGUCUUACUCUGAACACGGCGUUCAGAGGAAAUGCUUAUCGUGUGAAACAGUUAAGUAUCGUUUCAGUUUAUUUAUUUUUUCGCUUUGUCUCGCACCCCAGCACU